rnacentral:misc_RNA from 1 species
CACCCACAGUGCUGCUUUUUUUGCGGUGGCAUUCUUGACCUUACGGGUUCAAUUCUCGGCGCAUGCAUUUUCUCUUGGAAACAGCUGAAGUCAAGUG